rnacentral:misc_RNA from 1 species
GACAUCUGGUCAAAUUGCGCGUAAAUUACACAUUUAUAUUCCAAGACAGUUUAUAUGUCAGUAGUACAUACUCUUUUAUUAUACGGAGUAACCAUUCAAAUGUUCACUGUGUUUAAUAAUUUAAUCCCGUGUUUUUUUUAUAUUUUUAUUCGCGAUACAUUUAAAAAAACGACGUUGCAUUGCGUCAAAAAUUAGAUAUCGCUAUUACGUGGGAAGUGCAAAUCACUUUAAGCUUGAAAUAUUGGCUUCGAAUGUGUGUCUUAAAUUUGGAAAUGUUUCAUUUACACAUGUAAUUUUGAUUUCCACAUAAGACGUAUCUAUAUUUGAGAUUAAUUUUUACGUUGCUCGUGGCGAUAAUAAACCCUAAUUUAUGUAAAUUUCUUUCUACGCCUCGACGAUUCUCAGAAAACAAGAGGAGAGAAAAUUGUAACUUACGGAACAGGAUAAUCGACAUGACGUUGCGAAAAUUGUUAUACACGUGGUUACAGGUUCUAGGUAUACGAUUGUGCGGCUGCAUCCAAAGACGCCUUACGAGGCGCCACAUUGACAAUACGGAGCUGCGUCGGAAUAAACGAGUUUUUCAAGUUAUAGAAAGAUGACUAAAAGCAUUCGGCCGCACAAUAUUACAGAAUUUCAUAGUUUAAGGUUAUAAGAGUAAUUGAAACAUGGUGCUGAAAAAUUUCCAGUUACAUCCUAGUAUUUAAAAUUAGAAAUUUAUUUUAUUUUUUAUAAAUCUCUUGAACCUAUAUUUUGAUUGCUAUUUUUAUACGUUAGAGUUUCUCAAGUAUGUUCCACUAUUUAAAAUUAGAAAUCUAAUUAAUUCUUUCGUUUAUAAAUGAAUUUUUCGAUCUUAUACCUCGAUUGCUCUCUUUAUAUGUUACAUAAUAAUUCAUAUUCACAGUGAAUAUUACGUUUUUUAUUCAUCUGUCGAAUAGGGAAAUGAUUAAAAUAAAUAAAAUCACAGAAUUCCUUUUGAGAAUGUAAUUGGAAUUUUUGUGUUGAUAGGUUCGAGUCACGGCAAUUAUGUGAGAAUAUUCUGGUUUCAUUCAUAUAGUGUAUGAUAAUCGGUAUCAAUAGCAGAUCCUGCAAUGUUGAAUAUAACGUUAUAGCUUAAGUGUUAUUACAUGAUAAAGUGACACCAUGCGAUAAGAGAACAAAAUAAAUAUGACACGACAAUUUGUUGUCACUUAUGCACGAAACUAGUUGCGGUUACGAUGCAGUCAUCGCUAUUUCGUCGAAUAGAAAUUGCACACUUGUGUAAAUAGACGAAAUAAAAGAAAUAUUAUGUAAUUACCGUGCACUUAAACUCGAUAGUGCAUUUCCAGAUCACCUAUCGCGGUAUUUUCCUCCCUAACAGUUUGUUCCCCGUUUUUAUAAUAUUUCAACAAAUGUACUGACAACGAAUGACGUAAAAUCAGAUAAGAGAACUAUGAUAUUAAUUGUACCGACAGUCCUAGCUAUUCACAUUGAAAUUAAUUAAUCUUUAAUCUAUCCUUGUUAAGGCGACAAUUACGGGAACGAGUGUUACAUGGAAAAUUAGGUCGUUCAACUUUCAGAGUUAACCUUUCGUUCAUUGUGGUCAAUUUUACAGCUAAUGU